rnacentral:rRNA from 1 species
GAUGAACGCUGGCGGCGUGCCUAAUACAUGCAAGUCGAGCGAACGGACGAGAAGCUUGCUUCUCUGAUGUUAGCGGCGGACGGGUGAGUAACACGUGGAUAACCUACCUAUAAGACUGGGAUAACUUCGGGAAACCGGAGCUAAUACCGGAUAAUAUUUUGAACCGCAUGGUUCAAAAGUGAAAGACGGUCUUGCUGUCACUUAUAGAUGGAUCCGCGCUGCAUUAGCUAGUUGGUAAGGUAACGGCUUACCAAGGCAACGAUGCAUAGCCGACCUGAGAGGGUGAUCGGCCACACUGGAACUGAGACACGGUCCAGACUCCUACGGGAGGCAGCAGUAGGGAAUCUUCCGCAAUGGGCGAAAGCCUGACGGAGCAACGCCGCGUGAGUGAUGAAGGUCUUCGGAUCGUAAAACUCUGUUAUUAGGGAAGAACAUAUGUGUAAGUAACUGUGCACAUCUUGACGGUACCUAAUCAGAAAGCCACGGCUAACUACGUGCCAGCAGCCGCGGUAAUACGUAGGUGGCAAGCGUUAUCCGGAAUUAUUGGGCGUAAAGCGCGCGUAGGCGGUUUUUUAAGUCUGAUGUGAAAGCCCACGGCUCACCCGUGGAGGGUCAUUGGAAACUGGAAAACUUGAGUGCAGAAGAGGAAAGUGGAAUCCCAUGUGUAGCGGUGAAAUGCGCAGAGAUAUGGAGGAACACCAGUGGCGAAGGCGACUUUCUGGUCUGUAACUGACGCUGAUGUGCGAAAGCGUGGGGAUCAAACAGGAUUAGAUACCCUGGUAGUCCACGCCGUAAACGAUGAGUGCUAAGUGUUAGGGGGUUUCCGCCCCUUAGUGCUGCAGCUAACGCAUUAAGCACUCCGCCUGGGGAGUACGACCGCAAGGUUGAAACUCAAAGGAAUUGACGGGGACCCGCACAAGCGGUGGAGCAUGUGGUUUAAUUCGAAGCAACGCGAAGAACCUUACCAAAUCUUGACAUCCUUUGACAACUCUAGAGAUAGAGCCUUCCCCUUCGGGGGACAAAGUGACAGGUGGUGCAUGGUUGUCGUCAGCUCGUGUCGUGAGAUGUUGGGUUAAGUCCCGCAACGAGCGCAACCCUUAAGCUUAGUUGCCAUCAUUAAGUUGGGCACUCUAAGUUGACUGCCGGUGACAAACCGGAGGAAGGUGGGGAUGACGUCAAAUCAUCAUGCCCCUUAUGAUUUGGGCUACACACGUGCUACAAUGGACAAUACAAAGGGCAGCGAAACCGCGAGGUCAAGCAAAUCCCAUAAAGUUGUUCUCAGUUCGGAUUGUAGUCUGCAACUCGACUACAUGAAGCUGGAACCGCUAGUAAUCGUAGAUCAGCAUGCUACGGUGAAUACGUUCCCGGGUCU